UCUGGUACCUUCGGUGCCCGAGUUGUAAUUUGGAGAGGGCAACUUUGGGGCCGUUCCUUGUCUAUGUUCCUUGGAACAGGACGUCAUAGAGGGUGAGAAUCCCGUGUGGCGAGGAGUGCGGUUCUUUGUAAAGUGCCUUCGAAGAGUCGAGUUGUUUGGGAAUGCAGCUCUAAGUGGGUGGUAAAUUCCAUCUAAAGCUAAAUAUUGGCGAGAGACCGAUAGCGAACAAGUACAGUGAUGGAAAGAUGAAAAGAACUUUGAAAAGAGAGUGAAAAAGUACGUGAAAUUGUUGAAAGGGAAGGGCAUUUGAUCAGACAUGGUGUUUUGUGCCCUCUGCUCCUUGUGGGUAGGGGAAUCUCGCAUUUCACUGGGCCAGCAUCAGUUUUGGUGGCAGGAUAAAUCCAUAGGAAUGUAGCUUGCCUCGGUAAGUAUUAUAGCCUGUGGGAAUACUGCCAGCUGGGACUGAGGACUGCGACGUAAGUCAAGGAUGCUGGCAUAAUGGUUAUAUGCCGCCCGCUG
rnacentral:rRNA from 1 species